AGGGCGCACGGUGGAUGCCUUGGCACUAGAAGCCGAUGAAGGACGUUACUAACGACGAUAUGCUUUGGGGAGCUGUAAGUAAGCUUUGAUCCAGAGAUUUCCGAAUGGGGAAACCCAGCAUGAGUUAUGUCAUGUUAUCGAUAUGUGAAUACAUAGCAUAUCAGAAGGCACACCCGGAGAACUGAAACAUCUUAGUACCCGGAGGAAGAGAAAGAAAAUUCGAUUCCCUUAGUAGCGGCGAGCGAAACGGGAAGAGCCCAAACCAAAAAGCUUGCUUGUUGGGGUUGUAGGACACUCUAUACGGAGUUACAAAGGACGACAUUAGACGAAUCAUCUGGAAAGAUGAAUCAAAGAAGGUAAUAAUCCUGUAGUCGAAAAUGUUGUCUCUCUUGAGUGGAUCCUGAGUACGACGGAGCACGUGAAAUUCCGUCGGAAUCUGGGAGGACCAUCUCCUAAGGCUAAAUACUCUCUAGUGACCGAUAGUGAACCAGUACCGUGAGGGAAAGGUGAAAAGCACCCCGGAAGGGGAGUGAAAUAGAACCUGAAACCGUGUGCUUACAAGUAGUCAGAGCCCGUUAAUGGGUGAUGGCGUGCCUUUUGUAGAAUGAACCGGCGAGUUACGAUUUGAUGCAAGGUUAAGCAGUAAAUGUGGAGCCGUAGCGAAAGCGAGUCUGAAUAGGGCGUUUAGUAUUUGGUCGUAGACCCGAAACCAGGUGAUCUACCCUUGGUCAGGUUGAAGUUCAGGUAACACUGAAUGGAGGACCGAACCGACUUACGUUGAAAAGUGAGCGGAUGAACUGAGGGUAGCGGAGAAAUUCCAAUCGAACCUGGAGAUAGCUGGUUCUCUCCGAAAUAGCUUUAGGGCUAGCCUCAAGUGAUGAUUAUUGGAGGUAGAGCACUGUUUGGACGAGGGGCCCCUCUCGGGUUACCGAAUUCAGACAAACUCCGAAUGCCAAUUAAUUUAACUUGGGAGUCAGAACAUGGGUGAUAAGGUCCGUGUUCGAAAGGGAAACAGCCCAGACCACCAGCUAAGGUCCCAAAAUAUAUGUUAAGUGGAAAAGGAUGUGGCGUUGCCCAGACAACUAGGAUGUUGGCUUAGAAGCAGCCAUCAUUUAAAGAGUGCGUAAUAGCUCACUAGUCGAGUGACACUGCGCCGAAAAUGUACCGGGGCUAAACAUAUUACCGAAGCUGUGGAUUGUCCUUUGGACAAUGGUAGGAGAGCGUUCUAAGGGCGUUGAAGCAUGAUCGUAAGGACAUGUGGAGCGCUUAGAAGUGAGAAUGCCGGUGUGAGUAGCGAAAGACGGGUGAGAAUCCCGUCCACCGAUUGACUAAGGUUUCCAGAGGAAGGCUCGUCCGCUCUGGGUUAGUCGGGUCCUAAGCUGAGGCCGACAGGCGUAGGCGAUGGAUAACAGGUUGAUAUUCCUGUACCACCUAUAAUCGUUUUAAUCGAUGGGGGGACGCAGUAGGAUAGGCGAAGCGUGCGAUUGGAUUGCACGUCUAAGCAGUAAGGCUGAGUAUUAGGCAAAUCCGGUACUCGUUAAGGCUGAGCUGUGAUGGGGAGAAGACAUUGAGUCUUCGAGUCGUUGAUUUCACACUGCCGAGAAAAGCCUCUAGAUAGAAAAUAGGUGCCCGUACCGCAAACCGACACAGGUAGUCAAGAUGAGAAUUCUAAGGUGAGCGAGCGAACUCUCGUUAAGGAACUCGGCAAAAUGACCCCGUAACUUCGGGAGAAGGGGUGCUCUUUAGGGUUAACGCCCAGAAGAGCCGCAGUGAAUAGGCCCAAGCGACUGUUUAUCAAAAACACAGGUCUCUGCUAAACCGUAAGGUGAUGUAUAGGGGCUGACGCCUGCCCGGUGCUGGAAGGUUAAGAGGAGUGGUUAGCUUCUGCGAAGCUACGAAUCGAAGCCCCAGUAAACGGCGGCCGUAACUAUAACGGUCCUAAGGUAGCGAAAUUCCUUGUCGGGUAAGUUCCGACCCGCACGAAAGGCGUAACGAUUUGGGCACUGUCUCAACGAGAGACUCGGUGAAAUCAUAGUACCUGUGAAGAUGCAGGUUACCCGCGACAGGACGGAAAGACCCCGUGGAGCUUUACUGUAGCCUGAUAUUGAAAUUCGGCACAGCUUGUACAGGAUAGGUAGGAGCCUUUGAAACGUGAGCGCUAGCUUACGUGGAGGCGCUGGUGGGAUACUACCCUAGCUGUGUUGGCUUUCUAACCCGCACCACUUAUCGUGGUGGGAGACAGUGUCAGGCGGGCAGUUUGACUGGGGCGGUCGCCUCCUAAAAGGUAACGGAGGCGCUCAAAGGUUCCCUCAGAAUGGUUGGAAAUCAUUCAUAGAGUGUAAAGGCAUAAGGGAGCUUGACUGCGAGACCUACAAGUCGAGCAGGGUCGAAAGACGGACUUAGUGAUCCGGUGGUUCCGCAUGGAAGGGCCAUCGCUCAACGGAUAAAAGCUACCCCGGGGAUAACAGGCUUAUCUCCCCCAAGAGUUCACAUCGACGGGGAGGUUUGGCACCUCGAUGUCGGCUCAUCGCAUCCUGGGGCUGUAGUCGGUCCCAAGGGUUGGGCUGUUCGCCCAUUAAAGCGGUACGCGAGCUGGGUUCAGAACGUCGUGAGACAGUUCGGUCCCUAUCCGUCGUGGGCGUAGGAAAUUUGAGAGGAGCUGUCCUUAGUACGAGAGGACCGGGAUGGACAUACCUCUGGUGUACCAGUUGUCGUGCCAACGGCAUAGCUGGGUAGCUAUGUGUGGACGGGAUAAGUGCUGAAAGCAUCUAAGCAUGAAGCCCCCCUCAAGAUGAGAUUUCCCAACUUCGGUUAU
rnacentral:rRNA from 1 species